rnacentral:rRNA from 1 species
UACAGAGGUCUCAAGCGUUGUUCGGAUUCAUUGGGCGUAAAGGGUGUGUAGGUGGCGCGCUAAGUCGGGUGUGAAAUUUCGGAGCUUAACUUCGAAACUGCAUUCGAUACUGGUGUGCUUGAGGACUGGAGAGGAGACUGGAAUUUACGGUGUAGCAGUGAAAUGCGUAGAUAUCGUAAGGAAGACCAGUGGCGAAGGCGGGUCUCUGGACAGUUCCUGACAGCUGAGACACGAAGGCCAGGGGAGCAAACGGG